rnacentral:rRNA from 1 species
AACGAACGCUGGCGGCAGGCUUAACACAUGCAAGUCGAGCGCCCCGCAAGGGGAGCGGCAGACGGGUGAGUAACACGUGGGAACGUACCCUUUACUACGGAAUAACGCAGGGAAACUUGUGCUAAUACCGUAUAAGCCCUUCGGGGGAAAGAUUUAUCGGGAAAGGAUGAGCCCGCGUUGGAUUAGCUAGUUGGUGGGGUGAAGGCCUACCAAGGCGACGAUCCAUAGCUGGUCUGAGAGGAUGAUCAGCCACAUUGGGACUGAGACACGGCCCAAACUCCUACGGGAGGCAGCAGUGGGGAAUAUUGGACAAUGGGCGCAAGCCUGAUCCAGCCAUGCCGCGUGAGUGAUGAAGGCCCUAGGGUUGUAAAGCUCUUUCACCGGUGAAGAUAAUGACGGUAACCGGAGAAGAAGCCCCGGCUAACUUCGUGCCAGCAGCCGCGGUAAGAC